GCCAGGCGUGGUGGCGCGUGCCUGUAAUCCCAGCUACUCAGGAGGCUGAGGCAGGAGAAUCGCUUGAACCCAGGAGGUGGAGGUUGCAGUGAGCCGAGAUCACGCCACUGCACUCCAGCCUGGGUGACAGAGUGAGACUCCGUCUCAA
rfam:Pan troglodytes isolate Yerkes chimp pedigree #C0471 (Clint) chromosome 1, whole genome shotgun sequence.